rnacentral:rRNA from 1 species
UACAGAGGGUGCGAGCGUUAAUCGGAAUUACUGGGCGUAAAGCGUGCGUAGACGGUUGCGUAAGUCAGAUGUGAAAGCCCCGGGCUCAACCUGGGAAUUGCAUUUGAGACUGCUCUGCUCGGGUGCGGAAGAGGGAAGCGGAAUUUCCGGUGUAGCGGUGAAAUGCGUAGAUAUCGGAAGGAACACCAGUGGCGAAAGCGGCUUCCUGGUCCGACACCGACGUUCAGGCACGAAAGCGUGGGGAGCAAACAGG